rnacentral:rRNA from 1 species
CCCUUAGAUGUUCUGGGCGGCCCGCGCACUACAAUGGCGCUUUCAGCGAGUUCCUAUGUUGAAUUUUCCUGGGUAUUCUUGGAAGCGGCGUCUUGACUUGGGAUAGAUCCUUGUAAUUGUCGGUUUUGAACGAGGAAUUCCUUGUAAUCGCGGUUGAUCAGCUCGCGUUGAAUACGUCCCUGCCCUUUGUACACACCGCCCGUCGCUCCUACCGAUGAAUCGUCCGGUGAAGUUCACAGAGUGGCGGUUCGUGGAGUUGCUCGCGAAGUGAAAUGGACCUCACGAUUUAGAGGAAGGAGAAGUCGUAACA